rnacentral:rRNA from 1 species
UCNGGCUUACCAUGCAAGUCGAGGGGCAGCAUGGUCUUAGCUUGCUAAGGCCGAUGGCGACCGGCGCACGGGUGAGUAACACGUAUCCAACCUGCCGUCUACUCUUGGACAGCCUUCUGAAAGGAAGAUUAAUACAAGAUGGCAUCAUGAGUCCGCAUGUUCACAUGAUUAAAGGUAUUCCGGUAGACGAUGGGGAUGCGUUCCAUUAGAUAGUAGGCGGGGUAACGGCCCACCUAGUCUUCGAUGGAUAGGGGUUCUGAGAGGAAGGUCCCCCACAUUGGAACUGAGACACGGUCCAAACUCCUACGGGAGGCAGCAGUGAGGAAUAUUGGUCAAUGGGCGAGAGCCUGAACCAGCCAAGUAGCGUGAAGGAUGACUGCCCUAUGGGUUGUAAACUUCUUUUAUAAAGGAAUAAAGUCGGGUAUGNAUACCCGUUUGCAUGUNCUUUAUGAAUAAGGAUCGGCUAACUCCGUGCCAGCAGCCGCGGUAAUACGGAGGAUCCGAGCGUUAUCCGGAUUUAUUGGGUUUAAAGGGAGCGUAGAUGGAUGUUUAAGUCAGUUGUGAAAGUUUGCGGCUCAACCGUAAAAUUGCAGUUGAUACUGGAUAUCUUGAGUGCAGUUGAGGCAGGCGGAAUUCGUGGUGUAGCGGUGAAAUGCUUAGAUAUCACGAAGAACUCCGAUUGCGAAGGCAGCCUGCUAAGCUGCAACUGACAUUGAGGCUCGAAAGUGUGGGUAUCAAACAGGAUUAGAUACCCUGGUAGUCCACACGGUAAACGAUGAAUACUCGCUGUUUGCGAUAUACGGCAAGCGGCCAAGCGAAAGCGUUAAGUAUUCCACCUGGGGAGUACGCCGGCAACGGUGAAACUCAAAGGAAUUGACGGGGGCCCGCACAAGCGGAGGAACAUGUGGUUUAAUUCGAUGAUACGCGAGGAACCUUACCCGGGCUUAAAUUGCAGAUGAAUUACGGUGAAAGCCGUAAGCCGCAAGGCAUCUGUGAAGGUGCUGCAUGGUUGUCGUCAGCUCGUGCCGUGAGGUGUCGGCUUAAGUGCCAUAACGAGCGCAACCCUUGUUGUCAGUUACUAACAGGUUCCGCUGAGGACUCUGACAAGACUGCCAUCGUAAGAUGUGAGGAAGGUGGGGAUGACGUCAAAUCAGCACGGCCCUUACGUCCGGGGCUACACACGUGUUACAAUGGGGGGUACAGAGGGCCGCUACCACGCGAGUGGAUGCCAAUCCCAAAAACCUCUCUCAGUUCGGACUGGAGUCUGCAACCCGACUCCACGAAGCUGGAUUCGCUAGUAAUCGCGCAUCAGCCACGGCGCGGUGAAUACGUUCCCGGGCCUUGUACACACCGCCCGUCAAGCCAUGGGAGCCGGGGGUACCUGAAGUGCGUAACCGCGAGAGCGCCCUAGGNAAUUG